AACGAACGCUGGCGGCAUGCCUAACACAUGCAAGUCGAACGAGAUCUUCGGGUCUAGUGGCGCACGGGUGCGUAACGCGUGGGAAUCUGCCCUUUGGUUCGGAAUAACAGUUGGAAACGACUGCUAAUACCGGAUGAUGACGAAAGUCCAAAGAUUUAUCGCCAGAGGAUGAGCCCGCGUAGGAUUAGCUAGUUGGUGAGGUAAAGGCGCACCAAGGCGACGAUCCUUAGCUGGUCUGAGAGGAUGAUCAGCCACACUGGGACUGAGACACGGCCCAGACUCCUACGGGAGGAAGCAGUGGGGAAUAUUGGACAAUGGGCGAAAGCCUGAUCCAGCAAUGCCGCGUGAGUGAUGAAGGCCUUAGGGUUGUAAAGCUCUUUUACCCGGGAUGAUAAUGACAGUACCGGGAGAAUAAGCUCCGGCUAACUCCGUGCCAGCAGCCGCGGUAACAC
rnacentral:rRNA from 1 species